GGGAAAAAAUAGCUGACCGAUUCAAUGUGUGAGUAUUUAUUUGAGAUUUAUUUGAGAAGUUUUCUCUUGAAUGUUCCACUUAUUCAACAAUAAUAUUCCAUAUUUGUGUUUGUGCGCACAGGUGCAACCCAACAGGCCCCAAACUGACUUGGCAGCAACUAAAAAUGAUAUAUAAAUGUAGUUCAAACAGCCAACAGAAAAAAGGCAGAGGCAUGCAAAACAGGUGGCAGUCCACCACCAUCACCUCUCACAGAGGCUGAAGAGAUGGCCGUCAGUCACAACAGUGGGCGACCCAUUGCUGAGGGCAUCUCUGGGGGGAGCUCAUUGGACCCACCCACGCCCCAGGACACAGGGGCCUACAUAAGAGUUACUGAUGAUGGUGUAAUCUGUCUCGUGGAGCCUUCUGCCAUAACACACCUCCAUGCUGUCUUAA